CUCUCUAUCCAUGAGUCGAGAUGUGCUGCAGUCGACUUCCACUUGGUCGAGCGUGAUCGAAAUUGAUCUACGCGGUACAAAAGAGUGUAUCGACGGUCGGGACACUUCGGUCGAGCCGAUAGCAAAAGAGUUAAUUAUAAAGAGCCGAGCAUCAAAAUCCGAUACGUUGUCCAUCGUUGUUACUAACGGCGAUGACCAAUGAAGCCUCAGUGCGCGUUCGCUCGAUCGCGAACUGAACGUCGACCGGUUUAUCGGGCAUGGUAAGAUCGAUAUGUAGCGGCAGAUAGGUUAGAAGAAAGAGACACUCGAUUUCAUAAUAAAAUAAAAAAACAUGAAGUUCGUUUUUAUUCAAGGAUUAUCUGAGAAUCGAUGGUGUAUCGGCAUUAUACACAAUGUAAUGUAUGCUAUAAGCUGACAAAUACAAGUAAUAUGGUAUUAUAACUUCGAAAAUCAUGAGAGAUUCAGUGAAGUUUAUUUGAAAUUUGUAUUAUAGUAUAUUUUCGAUUGGAUGAUGUUAUUGGUCUAUUAUGAUUCUGUUAUAAAUCUUUGUGAUUAUUUAUUGUAAAUCUUUUUUAAUAUGAACUUUCAUAUUGAAUCUAAGAAUCGAUAUAAUCUAUAAAGAAUUACACAAUAGAAGAUGUUCUAUUUAUUCUAUCGAACACGUGCCUCACUGCAUGCAUAUACAUAUAUAUAUAUGCACAUAUAGUAUGUUGCCAUGAAAACCGGCUCUUCGAUAUAUUUUCAUCCUAUUCGUAUAACAACGAUAGAACAUUAAAAUAUUUUCAAAUUCUAAAUUUGAAAAUUUAACCCAAUUAAAAUUAACCUAUAUAUACGAAUAAUUAUUUGUUUUUCUUAUUAAAAAAAAUAAAUUUUUCUAGUAAAUCUCUUA